rnacentral:rRNA from 1 species
GGGCGUGGUCGAAGAGGUAAAAAUUAAAAGAAAUGUACGGGAAAACGCAAACCGGGGGCAUUAGGUAUAAUAUUGAAAUAAGGGAUAAAACCCUUCCAAGUAUUUAGAAUGCUCUGUCUAUCUUAGAGAGUGAGUAAUUCCCUGGGGAAAGCGGAAACAAAGGGGUCAUUGGAAAUAUUCUUGUUUUGUCUGGAAAGAUUGUGGUUAAACCCCAAAAGAGCGCCAACCCUUUUCAUUAUAUCCAACAAUUAGGUAGGCCAAUGUAAAGAAGCUCGCGGAGGUAUUCCGGGAAGAAAGGGGGGAGAUAAUCAAUUUUCAGUGGCUAUGAUCUGUCUCAAGCUCAUACAAUGAACAAACAAGAAAGCCCGAGUGAAGCGGAACAAAUAAAAUUAUUUUUCUUUUGGAAUGAGUUGAACUCGGUUCAGAAAUUGGAAUCUUAGUAAUUGCCGAACAGAAAGGAGGGAAAAAGUUCCGGGGUUUUGUCACACCCCCCGUCACACCAGGGAGUUGGAAAUCCCCAACGCAGAGGCCACCACUGGGGGGCCCCGUUAAGGGGGCACCAGCUGGCUUUCUCUAAAAGAUAAACCCAGGGGGAAAAUCCCCCACCCGGGCGGCCUUAAUAGGGGAACGAAGGGUGGGCACAAUAUAUU